UUCGAAUUGGCAAAGUUCCGAAUUUCUCGCUGUGUGGUGUACGCUUGUGCGCUCGUCAUUUGCCGUCAUCGCGCGGAGAUAUUUGCGCUGGAUGUCUUUCGCUUCGUGUACAAAACUCGGCACGCUGCGGCAUCGAAGAAGUUGUCCUGUGUUUGGGUGCACGUAUGCGCUUGGACACGGAUAGCCUGCUUGCUCUCAACGGGUGUUCAACUGUCUACGCGCGCUCGUAACUUGCUCGUGAGGCAUGUUGCUGUUGUUCUGCUCGAGCUGGGAAGAGGUCUGCUGCCUGCAGUGGGUCCAUCUCUCUCAAGUUAUCGCAGUAUUGUAGCUCUCAAAGUUCAAAAAAGUGUGGCGGAAGCUGUUGCCAAGGUUCCGACGGGAAGAGAAAGCCAGUAUAAAAGGGUCCACACCACUGAUCUCUACUACAGGGGAUGGACAGCACAUCGAGCGCCCUCGACUAAAGAAAACCUUGUCCCGGAAGUUGGUGCUUCACAACU